rnacentral:ncRNA from 1 species
AAGUUUUGGUCCUAAACUUGCUCUUGUUUUUUAUCAAAAUUAUACAUGCAAGCCUCAACACACCAGUGAGAAUGCCCAUAAAACCCCCAAUAGGUUACUGGAGCGGGCAUCAGGAAACAACACCAUUUAGCCAAAGACGCCUUGCACACGCCACACCCACACGGGCCCUCAGCAGUAAUUAACAUUAAGAAUGAGUGAAAACUCGACUUAGUUAUGAUAAACAUGGUCGGUAAAUUUCGUGCCAGCCACCGCGGUUAUACGAAAGACCAAAAACAACAGCCACCGGCGUAAAGCGUGACUAAAGACAUGAAAACUAAAGGGGCACAACUGCCAAGUCGUGAAACACUACUGCAAGCUAGUACAACAACAACGCCUUUAAAACCACUUUACCUCACGAAAGCUAAGAAACAAACUGGGAUUAGAUACCCCACUAUGCUUAGCCAUAAACAUAGAUAGAACCUAACACAAAACUAUCCGCCAGAGAACUACAAGCGAAAAGCUAAAAACUCCAAGGACUUGGCGGUGCUUCAAAUCACCCUAGAGGAGCCUGUCCUAUAAUCGAUACCCCACGUUCCACCUUACCACUCUUAGCCAACCAGCCUAUAUACCGCCGUCGUCAGCCUACCUUAUGAAAGAAGCAAAGUAGGCAAAAAAGUUAACAACUAAUACGUCAGGUCAAGGUGUAGCAUACGGAGUGGAAGAGAUGGGCUACAUUUUUUCAAAGGAAAAACACGAACAGUCUACUGAAACACACACUCAAAGGCGGAUUUAGUAGUAAAAUAAACAAGAGAGUUUACUUUAAACCUGCUCUGAAGCGCGCACACACCGCCCGUCACCCUCAUCA